CUUAAAUUGUCCUAGGACAGGCCCUUUCUUCCCCUUUUUUUCCUUAGGCCAGUGGCAGCUGCCAUUUGGUUUUGGUGAAGUAUCACUGAAGUGUCAUCAAGCCUUUCUCUAAGCCUCACCUUAUAUAGAGUGUGGAAACAAGAGAGCUGACUGCCUGCUGAGUCUGAAGGCGUUUUCAGGACUGGCCGAACUGGUUGUGCAGGACAAACACAGCGUUCAUGGGAGUCGUGGGAUUUCUUAUGGCUCUCUGGGUGGGUCUCUCUAAGAUAGCAGGUCUUCCAUUGAACGGGUGUCUGUGAAUUUGAUGCUCCAUUUUCUGUUUUCUAAUUUGCUCCUGAAAUCUAGCUUCUUAGACAUGCUAAAGAGAAGUUUUCCUUUUAAAGCCUUAGUUUUAAUGUAAACAUUUUUAACAAAGAGUAUUCUUCUUUCCUUUUAUAUGUAAGGUGAAAAUUAGGCUAUUUUAGUGUGAAAGGAUAUAUCAUUUUGAAGCUUUCACUUUUCUUCCAGUGAAUGUGCUUGAAUUUCUAUGGCAAUGUACAGAUCAUUUUUCUUAUUUUUGUAAGGAAGCAGCUAACUAUCUGUCUAAAAAUGCAGUGAGGUUUUGCAACGUUUUUAACAGAGCUUUAAUUUUGUUCUUAAAAGAAGUUACUUUGCUUUUAGAGAAGCAUAGCAGGUUAAAAUAAGCAAACAUUUAAUGUGUAAAGCAGUAUUUACAGCUAUGAGGUGUGUAAUAAAGCAAUGUUAAUUUUAUUUCUUGUCUUUGCUGUUUUUAGAGAUUAAAUUAUUCCAAGGUG
rnacentral:lncRNA from 1 species